UUGGAGGGCAAGUCUGGUGCCAGCAGCCGCGGUAAUUCCAGCUCCAAUAGCGUAUAUUAAAGUUGCUGCAGUUAAAAAGCUCGUAGUUGAAUUUCGGGACCAUCAUGUCGGUCGUGCCUCGGUACGUACUGGUAUUGUUGGUUUCUCCCUUUUGACGAACCAUGAUGUCAUUUAUUUGGUGUUGUGGGGAAUCAGGACUGUUACUUUGAAAAAAUUAGAGUGUUUAAAGCAGGCUCACGCUUGAAUACAUUAGCAUGGAAUAAUGAAAUAGGACGUUUGAUUCUAUUUUGUUGGUUUCUAGGAUCGACGUAAUGAUUAAUAGGGAUAGUUGGGGGCAUUAGUAUUCAAUUGUCAGAGGUGAAAUUCUUGGAUUUAUUGAAGACUAACUACUGCGAAAGCAUUUGCCAAGGAUGUUUUCAUUAAUCAAGAACGAAAGUUAGGGGAUCGAAGACGAUCAGAUACCGUCGUAGUCUUAACCAUAAACUAUGCCGACUAGGGAUCGGAUGAUGUUAAUUUUUUAAUGACUCAUUCGGCGCCUUACGGGAAACCAAAGUGUUUGGGUUC
rnacentral:rRNA from 1 species